rnacentral:rRNA from 1 species
CCGUCGUGAGACAGGUCGGACUUUAUCUGCUGGGAGUGUUGGCUGCCUGAGGGGAAAGGGUCCCUAGUACGAGAGGAACGGGACGCUGUAGCCUCUAGUUAACCGGUUGUCUGAUAAGGCAGUCGCCGGGCAGCCACGCUGUUGUGGAUAAGAGCUGAAAGCAUCUAAGCUCGAAGCCUCUCCCGAAAAGAGGCAGCCAUUCCAGUUUCACUGGACGAAGGCACCCAUAAAAGAUGGGUUUGAUGGAACCGGGGUGUACGCUAGAAGACUUCGGUCGACUAGCUUAGCCCGCGGUCACCAAUCGCCUAAGUUGUCAAUCAA